AACGAACGCUGGCGGCAUGCUUAACACAUGCAAGUCGAACGAGACCUCCGGGUCUAGUGGCGCACGGGUGCGUAACGCGUGGGAACCUGCCCUUAGGUUCGGAAUACCUCCCCGAAAGGGGUGCUAAUACCGGAUAAUGUCUUCGGACCAAAGAUUUACCGCUAUUGGAUGGGCCCGCGUUGGAUUAGCCAGUUGGUAGGGUAAAAGCCUACCAAGGCGACGAUCCAUAGCUGGUCUGGGAGGAUGAUCAGUCACACUGGGACUGAGACACGGCCCAGACUGCUACGGGGGGCAGCGGUGGGGAAUAUUAGGCAAUGAGCGAAAGCCUGAUCCAGCAGUGCCGGGGGAGUGAUGAGGGCCUUAGGGUUGUAAAGCUCUUUUACCCGGGGUGAGAGUGACAGUACCGGGAGAAUAAGCUCCGGCUAACUCCGUG
rnacentral:rRNA from 1 species